AGCGUAAUAGCUCACUGGUCGAGUCGGCCUGCGCGGAAGAUGUAACGGGGCUAAACCAUGCACCGAAGCUGCGGCAGCGACACUGUGUGUUGUUGGGUAGGGGAGCGUUCUGUAAGCCUGUGAAGGUGUGUCGUGAGGCAUGCUGGAGGUAUCAGAAGUGCGAAUGCUGACAUAAGUAACGAUAAAGCGGGUGAAAAGCCCGCUCGCCGGAAGACCAAGGGUUCCUGUCCAACGUUAAUCGGGGCAGGGUGAGUCGACCCCUAAGGCGAGGCCGAAAGGCGUAGUCGAUGGGAAACGGGUUAAUAUUCCCGUACUUGGUGUUACUGCGAAGGGGGGACGGAGAAGGCUAUGUUGGCCGGGCGACGGUUGUCCCGGUUUAAGCGUGUAGGUGUGUGUUCCAGGUAAAUCCGGUUCACUUUAACACUGAGGCGUGACGACGAGGCACUACGGUGCUGAAGCAACAAAUGCCCUGCUUCCAGGAAAAGCCUCUAAGCAUCAGGUAACAUCAAAUCGUACCCCAAACCGACACAGGUGGUCAGGUAGAGAAUACCAAGGCGCUUGAGAGAACUCGGGUGAAGGAACUAGGCAAAAUGGUGCCGUAACUUCGGGAGAAGGCACGCUGACACGUAGGUGAAGUGAUUUACUCAUGGAGCUGAAGUCAGUCGAAGAUACCAGCUGGCUGCAACUGUUUAUUAAAAACACAGCACUGUGCAAACACGAAAGUGGACGUAUACGGUGUGACGCCUGCCCGGUGCCGGAAGGUUAAUUGAUGGGGUCAGCGCAAGCGAAGCUCCUGAUCGAAGCCCCGGUAAACGGCGGCCGUAACUAUAACGGUCCUAAGGUAGCGAAAUUCCUUGUCGGGUAAGUUCCGACCUGCACGAAUGGCGUAAUGAUGGCCAGGCUGUCUCCACCCGAGACUCAGUGAAAUUGAACUCGCUGUGAAGAUGCAGUGUACCCGCGGCAAGACGGAAAGACCCCGUGAACCUUUACUAUAGCUUGACACUGAACAUUGAGCCUUGAUGUGUAGGAUAGGUGGGAGGCUUUGAAGUGUGGACGCCAGUCUGCAUGGAGCCGACCUUGAAAUACCACCCUUUAAUGUUUGAUGUUCUAACGUGGACCCGUUACCCGGGUUGCGGACAGUGUCUGGUGGGUAGUUUGACUGGGGCGGUCUCCUCC
rnacentral:rRNA from 2 species